UACGUAGGGACCAAGCGUUGUUCGGAUUUACUGGGCGUAAAGGGCGCGUAGGCGGCGUGGUAAGUCACUUGUGAAAUCUCUGAGCUUAACUCAGAACGGUCGAGUGAUACUGCUGUGCUAGAGUGCGGAAGGGGCAAUCGGAAUUCUUGGUGUAGCGGUGAAAUGCGUAGAUAUCAAGAGGAACACCUGAGGUGAAGACGGGUUGCUGGGCCGACACUGACGCUGAUGCGCGAAAGCCAGGGGAGCAAACGGG
rnacentral:rRNA from 1 species